GGAGAUUUAGCUCAGUGGUAGAGCGCUUGCCUAGGAAGCGCAAGAAUUUUUUAAAUAAAUAAUUUUUA
rnacentral:tRNA from 1 species